CCCAAACAACCUUUGAUUUCUUUUCUUUUCUCACUUUAGCCAGCUCUUAUUCAAUUUCCUAAACCUGAACCUCCUGUCUUCCUUAAAUUCAAACCCUAAAACUCUUUAAUUGUUGGAGAUUUGCCCACCAUGACGGCAUUAGUAGACUGAUUGCUUAACCUGAACCUGCAUGAGAAAGUAUACAAAAUUUUGGUAUAAGGCAAGCUUGACACUCAUGCGUGUUAGAAUCCAAGUAAAACAUUUUAUCACCAGUUCUUUCUCUGUACAUCUGUGUUGGGUUUUGCAUUUGUUUGUGAAUCAGAUGUGCAUUUAAAGCAUUCAACAUGAUCAAGUGGCAGACAUUGAAAAUGUUGCUUGUACUUUAUAUUGGCAUGCGUUAUGUACUAGUACUAUUAAUAUGUAUUCAGAGGUCGAAUUUUAGUAGCAGGUUUUGAUGAAUGGGGAGGGGUAGACUGGAGGGUAUAUGAUCUUGUACGGUUGAAAAGCUUGGUCAUUAAUCUUGUCAAUAAUAUUUCAAGGAAACUUCAUAGAAGGGCUUCUUAGGGAGACAGAUGAGAUGCUUCUUACAUUUAUUUUAUGUAGAUGGAUUUAAAUCUUCACUUUUGGUACAGGACGCAAAUGCAUUGCUGUGUGAUGUUCACAAUGUUU
rnacentral:misc_RNA from 1 species